rnacentral:rRNA from 1 species
UACGUAGGGUGCGAGCGUUUGUCCGGAAUUACUGGGCGUAAAGAGCUCGUAGGUGGUUUGUCGCGUUGUUCGUGAAAACUCACAGCUCAACUGUGGGCGUGCGGCGAUACGGGCAGACUGGAGUACUGCAGGGGAGACUGGAAUUCCUGGUGUAGCGGUGGAAUGCGCAGAUAUCAGGAGGAACACCGGUGGCGAAGGCGGGUCUCUGGGCGAGUAACUGACGCUGGAGGAGCGAAAGCGUGGGGAGCGAACAGG